UGUUUGGUAGCUCACUCGGUAAAGCAUGAAACUCUUCAUCUUAGGGUUGUGGGUUCGAGUCCCACAUUGGGCAA